CAGCUGUACAGCUCUGCUCUCUAAGAGAGCAGCGGCAACCCCAAAAAUAAACAAGACACCAGCCAGCAGCAAGGGGGAACCAGUGUUACGAUGCAACAUACACACAGCAACAGAGCAAGGAGCUCUGCCAGGCGGAAUGGCUAGUGGAUCCUCGACAGGGGCUUGAAUGGAUGACACAGACAGUUUUGUUGUGGUUAAAACCUGAAAAAUAAGUCAAGAAUUGACUUGCACCUUUUGCAGUUAAGUUAAAUAAAGCCAUUAUCUCCAUACAGACA